GACACGGCUCUGUGAGUCUGACCCAAACAAACUCUCCAGUUUUAGCUUUUAAAAUUUGUAAAGCAGCACAAUUGUUGGUGCUUAAGUAUAAACUCUUUAAAGUAAACAUUAACAACAAAACAUGAGCUGUUGCUUCACAAUAAUGUUGUUUUUAAAUUAAACAAUUUAAAUUGGACUCCAUCCUAAUGGAAGCACAGAGCAGCCACCAACAUAAUCAAUAUCAGUUUCACAUUCUUUCAAUAUAAAUGUUGUAAAACAGGGAAAAUUGUUCAGAUGUGAAAAGUGGAUCUGGAUGAAGACAUAACAAUCCCUUAACCCUCUUGAGGCAGGCGUUGCAGAUUUGCACCAUUAAAACCUACCUGGUUACUCCACAUAUGUGUUUCAUGAGCAUUUUUAACUCAGAAGUACCGCUGAAGAACUUAGUUGUUGGUCCUUUUAUCAAAACUUAUUUUGAGCCUGAGAGGGUUAAAAUGUCAAAUCUUUCAUUAUUCUAAUCAUAUAAUUUGCUGACUGAUGAUUAUUUUCAUCACUGAAAAAUUAUUUUACAGCAAACCUCCUAGCAUACAAUAAAAUAAUACAUACAAACAUGAAAUAACCAAAAGCAGAUUUAUUACAUGACAACGUCAUUUUGAUCCAAGUCCUAUCUGGAAUGAGUCAGCAGAUUUCCAUAGAGCAUGACUUUGCAUCAGCAGCACCAUGCUCCAGUGCUCUGGGAGAGUUUAUAGUCCUGAGAGUUGAAGACUGGAUGACUAACAGCUGUCCUUCAUCACAACAGAAGACUUGGAAAUCCUCCUGAUCAAAACCAUGACUUUGAUCUGCGUCCUCAUCUGGACUCUCCUCUGCUGCUGCUUCACAGAGACCAGAGGUCAGGUCACAGUGACUCAGUCUGCAGCAGUGAGCUCUGCUGUGGGACGCUCCGUCUCCAUCUCAUGUAGGACCAGUCAGGAUGUCUAUCUUUAUAACAGCAACAACCUUUUAGCCUGGUACCAACAGAAAGAUGGACAACCUCCUAAACUCCUCAUUUAUUACGCUACCAGCCGACAAUCAGGAAUCUCAGAUCAUUUUUCAGGCAGUGGAUCUGGAUCUGACUUCACUCUGACCAUCAGUGGAGUUCAGGCUGAAGAUGCUGCAGUUUAUUACUGUCAGAGUUUUCAUUAUAUAAACAGCCAGCGUCUGUUCACACAGUGA